GGGCGCGCGCGAGGAGGCCCCCGAGCCGCGGUCACGUGUGCCGGCCCCGCCGCGCCUGCGGAACCCGACUUUCUGUUUCCCUCUAGCUGCGCGCACUUCCGCAAAGAAGGGCUCGCUCUCCGAGUCCAGGAGGUCGGGGGUCGCGACGUGGCCCCUGCCCUUGGGGCUCCCUUUCCCUUAGUUUGCGCGCCCGCCGCCUGCUGUCCCCUCGACCCGCUCGGUUGCGAGGCCCCUGGCUAGGAAAUUAUUGCAACGGCCGCCUGAGCCUGGAAGGUUUUGGUGCCUUUUCUUAAGGUGACUUUUGACCUUCUGCUCUCCCAGGACCUCGCCUAUAACCGACGUGCACCCCGCCCUCGCGCUCAGCCUUCAGGGCGUUUUCUGACCCGUGCGUGAGCUUUGGUUUGAGGCGAAAGAACUGGAGUCGUGGUCCACCUGCCAUGCGAUCGUUAAUGUCUCGCUCCGAGUGCGAUCCCGCCCGAGCUGCCUUACGAUCUCGGUAGUGCUGACAUCCGUGAGUGGCAAAGAGGGUGAGGUCAUGGUGAAAAUCCCCCUCAGCCGGACGCUGAUGCAGAUUCUUCCCCACGAGGAAGCAGAUAAGCAAACAGACGGCGCGGCAGCGGGCAAAUUUUAGGUUUCCUGCCAGAUUACAGAGGAUGUGACCAACGAGAGACUUUUUUUUUCUUCUAACAGCUGAUUGAGGCCAGGACACCUGAAAGGCCUGCCUGGAGAGAAGCGACAAGUGACAGCAGGGUUGGCAGGAUGACUGCUAGCAGAGACUCCAGAAGCUGACUUCUGUUUCAUUCUUAGUACGGUGUUUAGUUCCAAGCGGAAAAAGCCAAAGGCCGGUCAGGUUUUGGCAGCCUGACGCUCCCUGGUUUGAGCUCGUGUAGCUCAGAAACUUCCUGUAUGAUAGGGAGUUGGCCUGAGAGCCUCUGAGAAAGAUCCACCAGCUGCUGAUGACCAGCUGAGACCUCAGCUCAGCGGAAGGCAGAAGCCUGUCCUCUUUUGAAGACACACCCCAGAACGCUAUCAACGCGUAUAUCUUGCCUGCCGCAUCGGUCCUGCUUCUGGGAAAUCUGUGUAACACCAUGAACAAGGCUGAGUCUGUACACCUGAUAUUCUUUCGGAGACACUGAAAACACCCUGCUCAUUCCAUCGCCUUUAUUUUCCCUACCACUACCGCUUUUAAAGUCAGAGACACUUUUUAUGUUUUACUGUCUUUAAAUGUCCUUUACCAGAAAAAAGCAAGGAUGCUUCAUGAAUCUAAAUUUUAUUUCUCCAGGGAAGUUCAAGUUGGCAUUCUGAAUUUAUUCCUGCAUGUCAAAAUAGCCUGCUCCCAAGGUGGUGGCAGCAGUUUUCUUUCCCUAGAAUGCUGGACUAGCAGGCUUGGACCUGCUGCUCCCGGCAACCACACUCUUGGCCGGCUGGCUCCGGCUGUAGGGUAGCAUCACAUGUCAUGGCCUGCAGAGCUGGGCUUUGCCUCCCUGGAAAGUGCCAGGAAGCACCAGCUGGUUGAGUCUAUCAUCGGACAGUAAGAGCUCACCUAGGGGUUCUGAGAAAUGAUCCAGUGGCCCAUAUGGCCUUCGUCAGGCUAUAGCAGACUGCCUCCCAGAGCAAAUAAUGUCAUCAACUUGUCUUUCUCCACAUUCCUGUGUCAGCUGCUAAAAAGAGGACAGGCGAGCUCAUGGAAGAAUUCAGGGGAAGUCUGCACCUUCUGAGUCAGAAUGACACCCUGGGGGAUUUAGAAGAUUCUCCUGGCUCUGCUGGACCCCAGCAAGGAGAUAAGAGGAAGAAAUAAAAGCCAGGAGAAGUGG